rnacentral:rRNA from 1 species
GACGAACGCUGGCGGCGUGCCUAGUACAUGCAAGUUGAGCGCUGAAGGUUGGUACUUGUACCGACUGGAUGAGCAGCGAACGGGUGAGUAACGCGUGGGGAAUCUGCCUUUGAGCGGGGGACAACAUUUGGAAACGAAUGCUAAUACCGCAUAAAAACUUUAAACACAAGUUUUAAGUUUGAAAGAUGCGAUUGCAUCACUCAAAGAUGAUCCCGCGUUGUAUUAGCUAGUUGGUGAGGUAAAGGCUCACCAAGGCGAUGAUACAUAGCCGACCUGAGAGGGUGAUCGGCCACAUUGGGACUGAGACACGGCCCAAACUCCUACGGGAGGCAGCAGUAGGGAAUCUUCGGCAAUGGACGAAAGUCUGACCGAGCAACGCCGCGUGAGUGAAGAAGGUUUUCGGAUCGUAAAACUCUGUUGGUAGAGAAGAACGUUGGUGAGAGUGGAAAGCUCAUCAAGUGACGGUAACUACCCAGAAAGGGACGGCUAACUACGUG